rnacentral:lncRNA from 1 species
AUGACCCCUUUCCUCCUCGCAAGGCCUUCCCGACCCACCUCUCCCAGCCCAGCUCCCCGCCCCGGGCGCCUACCGCCCGCCCUCCCCUCACACGGCGGCUCCCACCGCCCCGCCACCGUCCGGGCACGGCUCCCUCCUGGCCCCACAGGCCUCUCCGCAGGUCUCCCCUUCGCGCCUGCCCCCGCCGCUGCCCCACGCACCCUGUCCCGGCGGAUCCCACCUCCCCGCCGCCGUCACCACCCACCAUCGCGGCCCGGCCAGGCCGCCUCGCCCCAGGCCGCUGCUGCCGCCCCCCCCCCCCCCCCCCCCCCCCCCCCCCCCCCCGGCCGGCGCGGUUCCGCAGGCGAGCCCGGGGCUGGGCAGGCCGCGGCCGCCCGGCUCCGCGGAGCGAGGCCGCCUCCCCCUUUACCGUCCGUCGGGGGGCUCGGGCCGGGCUGGGCCAUGGCUCCGGCGGGCGGGCGGCGCCGCCGCGGCCUCCUCCGCCUCCAGCCGCGGCGUCGGAGCGGGAACCGCUACGCCAGGGGGCCCCGGCGAGAGACGGGAGCUGCCGGCCUGGGCCUCCGCCUCCUCCGCCUCAUCCUGACAGCGGCCGCCGGCGGCAGGAGGAGGAGGAGGAGGAGGAGGAGGAGCGCCGCGCAGGCGCCCACGAACUGUCUUUGGAGAUACUUAGAGGAACAUGAUACCCAAGAAGACUGAGCAGUCUGUGUAAACAAUGGACCAGGCAGCUGAAGAGAUUCUAUAGGAUUUCAGAGGAUCACGAAAUCUUUGCAAAUCCUUCAGCUGAACAAGCCCACCCUUCUGAACAGUUUAAUCCAAGUAGGAUUGCUGGAAGGUCCAGAAGUGUAGCUCGAGGCCUUACUCCAGGUGGGACUCUUCAAUGACUCUUGAGCCUUUUCUGGUGCUCUGCCUAUGCCUGUAUGUCCAGAGGUGGACCAGCUCCAAUAUUUGUUAAUACAAGCUUAAAUCCCACACCUUAUGUCAGUGGGAUCUUAGGUCAGCUCACCCAGCUAGUCCGACUGUUUCUCAUCAAUGCCAUCCCAUCCUUAUGAAGCCUUCAAUUCCCUGUUUUCCCUGAUUUCUCCUAGGUGUUACAGUGGUCUCUCUGUUUGCUGCGUUUUUUUUACUGGAGUGCCUUUUCCAGAGCUAUGUCCCU